CUGCAACACCUGCGAGCUGUUCGACCGUGGCCACCGGGCCGCCGAGUGACACGGAGCAAGAUGCACCCGCAACAGCUUGGAGGAAACUGGGUCAAUUUUUUAUAGACUUUAAAAUGAAAUAUGAAUAAAACUCCUUCUGAGAGCAGUAAAGCUGGAAGCAAUUCCAAGCCUUCUUUGAACAGAAAGGCUGCUCUGUUUCUUGACUCCCAGACAUGAACGCUGAAGCGUUAGCCUGUCAUCCACUGAGCACUUCAACCACCGUAAAGGAGGCACCUGGGCUCGGAAGAUCAAAGCUCUGCUCAGUAUUCUCAAGUUGGAUAUUCUGGUAUUUCUGGUGCAUCUUGCAUAUGUAGAAACAGCAAAAUUUCUCUUGGAGAACAGGCAUCAGCAGAGAGAGGGGACAGAUGGUGUUCGAUACGGAGACCGAACUACGGCUCGAUCUUCCCAAAGAAAGUGGGUCCUGCAAGAGCAAGGGAAGACAUCAGUUAAAUUGUCACAAAUAAGCCCCAACUGUUGCAAAACAGCAUCUGAUUUCCUAGAUUAAUCUGAAAGCAGAAAGAAAUGUUCUGGCAGUCCUACUUGAUGUUUCAAGCCUCAGUGGGUAUAUCCAGCCCUACUCAAGCAUGGGGGGUAAGUAUAUAUGCUGCUUGAAUUUGCUUCUUUGCAACACUUAAACGAAUAUAGAAAAUGAACAGAAAUAUCAAGCCACUGGAAAAAAACAUCAUUGAAAUAGAAUUUUUAUGAACUGCUGAGCUGAGAGUUGAGCUGGUACCGGCAGAGUGGGAUCAGUCAGUGGUCAGAUACCAUAUGCUGGAUUUCCAUAUUUUUCAGCCAUCUUUAAGACUGAUUCCUUGUGUUACAUGAGCAAGAGGGAGCCUGGAACUACACAACCUGUCGUUAAAGAAACUUGCACCAUCACCAGGCAUCAGCUCCACUCUCCAGAGGCCCAAUCUCCAGACAAUCAGCUCGUGUGCUGUUAGUGCUUUGUUUCUCUCACUUCUCCUGUGUACAUAUGAAACUGUCGAGCUGAAUUACACUUUAUAAGGUGAUAGGGAAAAGAUGUAACAUUUAUUUUUCCCUUUUACUAAUUUUCACAGUGUGGGGAAGCUAAUUUUUGCAGGCUAAAAACCAACAAAGCAAAACAAGUCCUGCUAUUCUUGACAUCUUUCAGGUAAACAAGAAAAGAAUUUGACAUCAUUUGCAAUUAUUAUCACUUUUUAAAAGCUCCGCUUUUAUAAACAGUGAGGCACGACAACAAAUGAUGCUUAUUGAAAUCUAAAUUUUUACAUUAAAUACACCAAAUGAGCACAAAAGUAGAAUUUUAAGCCUAGAUAGAAGUCUGGCAUCACCCUUCAAAUCCCAUUUCCCACUGUUUUAAGGGGGAGUUGAACAUUGUGCAGCCUCACUGUAAAGAAUAACGUUCCCUAUUAGUGCAGAUAUUUGACAUCUUCUCUAUGAAUCUUGAAAAGAGGGCCAAAAUCAGUGAUUUUCGUGAUGUUUCACUGAAAUUUGUCUUGUGUGGACACCAUUACUUUCCAGCCAUGUAAGCUUUUUUGAUAAUGGACAAUGGAUUCCAAAGACCUGCUCAAGCUCCUGGAUAUCUGCUCCCUAUGGCAGACAGAGUGUACUCACUUCUGACUCUUCAGAGAAAGAGAUUUGCAAUUUCUGUGCCAAACCAGUCAAACCCCACAUCUUAUUUCAUUCAACAGAAAAUGAAAAUUGUGAGCUAUACACAACACUGGUGUUUCUGUUCCCUGCCAGCACUUUGACCCAUCUGACAGGAAAGUUCCCUCUAUGGAGUGUUUUCUACCUUGGUGAGUUCUUUCCAUGACAUUGAUAGAAAAAUCCAGAUUUGUCGAUUCUGUUGUUGUAUUAUUUACCCUGCAGCUGGUUCCACGAGUUUAUUGCCCGACUUCUUCCUAUAGUUUUAAAUGUUCCUGAAUUGUACCAUUUAGUAAGUUCCUGCUAGAGUCAGAGCAUAAAGUUGUUCAAAGUGCUUGCAUUCCUUGAAAAGAGCCAGGCAAGCAUUUUCUCCACAAAUGAGAAUUAUUCAUCAAAUUUAUUUCACCUGGGGUUUGUAUGUGUGCAUGCAUUCUUUGUUAAGUGUUUUAGCAAAUAUUAAAAUCCAAGGUAGGUUAAGGGGAUCAGCAAAAUUCCUGCCAGUAUUAAAUGAAUAUUUGUGCAGGGUGAAUUUUGAGUGUGCUGUGUAAAGCUUAUAAUGCUUAAGACUAUAUUCUUCUGCUAAAUGGUUAAACACUGCCCUAAGAACAAUUUGUCCAGACCAGUAGGAGAGCAGAAAAGAAGUGAGGUACUUGUAGUGAAGAACAUACAACCAUAGGGAAGGAUUAUUUGGGAAAUUAUAACAGGCAGUUGAAGUCUUGGAAGCAUUCAAGAGACUUCAAUACUUCCAAUUGCAAAUUGUUUAUGGAGAGAAAUAAAGCUAAACCUAUCCAAUUUUUUUUCAAGUAGCUCUGGUAACUUGUAAGAUUUGUGUCAGACUCCAAGAAGAAAAUUAUCACCAAUUAGAUUCCAAAGAAUAGCAAUAAAAGCUUGUAAGAGGAAAGCA